AAUAAGUGCAUGUGGUGGAUGCCUUGGCGAUCACAGGCGAUGAAGGACGUAGUAGCCUGCGAUAAGCUGCGGGGAGCUGGCAAACAAGCUUUGAUCCGCAGAUUUCCGAAUGGGGAAACCCGGCCCGCAAGGGUCAUCCCGCGCUGAAUACAUAGGCGCGUGGAGGCGAACGCAGCGAACUGAAACAUCUAAGUAGCUGCAGGAAAAGAAAUCAACCGAGAUUCCGGAAGUAGCGGCGAGCGAAACCGGAACAGCCUGUGCGUGAUAGUCGAUACGUUAGCGGAACGGAAUGGAAAGUCCGGCCAUAGCGGGUGAUAGCCCCGUACGCGAAAACGAAUCGGUGGUACUAAGCGCACGAGAAGUAGGGCGGGACACGUGAAAUCCUGUCUGAAUAUGGGGGGACCAUCCUCCAAGGCUAAAUACUAGUAAUCGACCGAUAGUGAACCAGUACCGUGAGGGAAAGGCGAAAAGAACCCCGGGAGGGGAGUGAAAUAGAUCCUGAAACCGCAUGCAUACAAAAAGUCGGAGCCGCAAGGUGACGGCGUACCUUUUGUAUAAUGGGUCAGCGACUUACAUUCAGUGGCGAGGUUAACCGAAUAGGGAAGCCGUAGAGAAAUCGAGUCCGAACAGGGCGACAGUCGCUGGGUGUAGACCCGAAACCAGGUGAUCUACCCAUGGCCAGGAUGAAGGUGCGGUAACACGCCCUGGAGGUCCGAACCCACUAAUGUUGAAAAAUUAGGGGAUGAGCUGUGGGUAGGGGUGAAAGGCUAAACAAA
rnacentral:rRNA from 14 species